UCGAAUAAACUUGGUUAGGUUGCUGCUGGCUCUUAGGAGCAUGUGCACACUGACUCCAUCUUUAACCACCUGUGCACCCUGCGUAGAUCUGAAUAUUUCGAGGAAACUCGGUUUGAGAAUUGCUGUGCGUGAGCCAGCUUUUCUUAUAAUCAGGUCUAUGUUUUCACAUACCCCAUAUGAAUGUAUACGAAUGUUGCAUUUGGCCUUGUGCCAUUAAAAACAAAUA
rnacentral:misc_RNA from 1 species